rnacentral:misc_RNA from 1 species
UCCAAGCAAAAGCCAGGCGAAGACAAGCAGGAGGAAGGUUCAGCUUAGAGUUGGUCAAAGAAGAUUUGUUCUGUAGCGGACUAUUUCAAUUUCAUGGGAACCCUCUCUCUCUCUCUCUCUCUCUCUCUUUUUGUGAAUUAUGGUUUGAGAAAUAUGCAGAUUUGUCUCUGAGAAUCUGUUUGGUGAGUAACUUCUUUGUUGUUGGAGAGGAAACUUACAAAUCUGAGAUGAUUUAUGAUCAUGAUCACACUUUCAUGGAUUCGGUGCUCAACAAAGAAGUUACUUAUUGGGAUUUUUUUUUUAUCAGGAUGUUUGCUGAAUUCACGUAGUUUUAUAAUAAAUCUUUUGUAACUUGCCAACAAAAAAGAUGCCUCAUGACCCACAAUCUGAUACUACCUGAGCAGUUCCUUUAUUUUUGUCCAAUGUAUUAAUACUACUUUGAAGCCCGAAGGUCUGGCAUCUCAUUCUGGAGUAUCCAUUGUUGUUACUGAAAUCCAAUGAAAGCUUCAGUUUUCAUCCAAAAAAAAA